GAUGAACGCUGGCGGCGUGCCUAACACAUGCAAGUCGAGCGAACCUUUCGGGGUGAGCGGCGGACGGGUGAGUAACGCGUGGGUAACCUGCCCUAUACACACGGAUACCGUACCGCAAGGUACGCUAAUAAGGGGUAAAGUUGUUGGAUGGCCUCUUCUAACAAUCAAAGCCCCGGCGGUAUAGGUUGGACCCGCGUCUGAUUAGCUAAUUGGUGAGGUAAGGGCGCAACAAGGCGACAAUCAGAAGCCGACCUGGGAGGGUGAUCGGCCAAAAUGGAACUGAGACACGGUCCAGACUCCUACGGGAGGCAGCAGUGGGGAAUAUUGCACAAUGGGCGAAAGGCUGAUGCAGCAACGCCGCGUGAGCGAUGAAGGUCUUCGGAUCGUAAAGCUCUGUCCUCAAGGAAGAUAAUGACGGUACUUGAGGAGGAAGCCCCGGCUAACUACGUGCCAGCAGCCGCGGUAA
rnacentral:rRNA from 1 species